GUGCACCGCCGGCUUUAGGGCGGAUCUCCCAGAAGUGAGUGCCAAGCCCGUCUGCUGUCGGAGCCGUGCACGACCGACAGCGAGUUGCCAGGCUGUGACGACACAUUCGGUGUGCACGGACGGUGUCUGCGCCUGUGCGGCAGGAUACUGGAACCGAACUAACAGCGAAUGCCGGCCAGGUGUAAGCGCAGGCCAGGCAUGCACCUUCGACCAGGACUGCUCCACGCACCGCUCCAACUUCACGUGCAACUCGGGCGAGUGCUCGGAACGCGUCUGUCCGGGCGUCGUGCAUGGAAGCUAUGAGUACCGGCUGGCUGGAGGUAAUUCCUGUGCGCAAGGCCGAGUCGAACUCAGACCCCUCGGCGGCACUUGGGGCUAUGUCUGUGACGACGAGUGGGAGGAUGUGGACGCGUCAGUUGUCUGCCGAACAUUAGGAUUUAGCGCUGGGAGAGCACACUGCUGCUCCGCGUACGGUGCCGGAGGACCUGAAAACUUCUACAUGGAUGACGUCAGCUGCAGUGGCUCCGAGAGCCACCUGAAGAAUUGUCGCCACAGCACCCGGGAUAACUGCAGCCGAGGAGAGGUGGCGGCGGUCACCUGCAGUGGUCCCCAGCAGAACGCCUGAGCCUGAGGCUACAGACUGAGGACUACAACGGCCAGCCUGGCGUUUGCUCGG